AAUCAACGCUGGCGGCGUGCCUCAGACAUGCAAGUCGAACGAGAAAGGUCCCCUUCGGGGGAUAAGUAAAGUGGCGCACGGGUGAGUAACACGUAGGUAAUCUACCUUCGGGUGGGGAAUAACCCAGGGAAACUUGGGCUAACACCGCAUAAUGCAGCGGCACCACAUGGUGACAGUUGUUAAAGCGGGGGAUUUUCGGACCUCGCGCCUGAAGAGGAGCCUGCGGCGGGAUUAGCUAGUUGGAAGGUAACGGCUUACCAAGGCAACGAUCCGUAGCCGGCCUGAGAGGGCGGUCGGCCACACUGACACUGACAUACGGGUCAGACUCCUACGGGAGGCAGCAGUCGGGAAUUUUGGGCAAUGGGCGAAAGCCUGACCCAGCAACGCCGCGUGAAGGA
rnacentral:rRNA from 1 species